CUGACCCUGGCCUCCUCAUAUGUCAAACACCAAACAGCAGGAGGUCAGCCUGGGCGAAGCUGGCCAAGUGGCCCCCAUCUGGGCAGUAUGUGUGCACACACAGGCACUGAGGGGGAGGGGACAGUGCAAAAAUCCCUGCCUGUGUCCUCGGUCAGGGCCACAGCCAAGCUGUGACCAUCUGUUGUCGUCCUGAGAGGCCAGGCCACGUCCCAGCACCCUUCACGAAUAAGCCUUCCCUUCCUGCCAGGCUUCUAGUGUUUGCAAAGAACUUUCAUAGGUGUCAUUUGGUUUCAUCCUCACUUCAUCCUGGCUAAAUGACACCACUCUCCCCAUUUGACAGAAGAGGAAAUGGAGGCUGAGAAGGGUGGUGGUCUCCUAGCUGAAAAGAGGGGAGGUGGAACUCAGCCCAUUGGGACAGCCCUAUACACACCUGUGUACAUCCUAGCCUUUGCCAGGGUGCCUCAUUCAGGCUCAAAGGUCUCCAGGGCUGCCCAUUUGGGAAUAGCCAUCACUAUCCCCCGCUACUGUUCAGCUCUACCCCAACCCAUUCCACUCAUCCCCUCUUGUAGGAAGCCUUUUUGGAUUGACAUCCCCAAGGAAGUGCCUCCAAGUCGACCGGCAAAAAAAGGCACUCUUUCCCCCAGCCAGGCAACGCCACGGAACACAAGGGCGGUGAGCCAGAUUCAAGCCCAUCCCUGUGGAAGCCAAGGAAAGAAUCAGCCUAGUUACUGCCACUGUUCCUCUCACAAAGAAAACACAUUUUUCCAUCUCCUGCCUAACUGUUGAGUAAGAGAAAACCAAUCACUCCCUUUUAAACCAGCAAGGACCUGUAGGGGUUCCAGGUAAUCAGUUAC
rnacentral:lncRNA from 1 species